CCUAAAUUCCGGAAUUUCUCUCCCGAUUUCUUCUCCCUUCGCGUGAGCCUUCUUCUUCCCGACCCUCAAUAGUGACCGGCGAUCUUCCUCUUCUCCUCUCGGCAUCGCCGGCGCAAAGAAACCCCCAAAGCUUUGAGGAAGCAAGCCACCAAUUCUUCUUCCUCUCCUCUCAUUUUCCUCUCUCUCGACUUCUCUCACGCAGGCGAUCCGAUGUCGACGGAGGCGAGUUUUUCCCCGGCGAUCUCAUUCCCUCUGCAUCACCUGCGGUAUGUUGCCGGAUCUCGACAGCACCUGCCAUCUUCACCUGAGAGGUCGUCUUCUCGGUGGGUUCUUGCUCACGAUCGGCCGCUGCUCCGCGGCUAGGGCACGGUGAGGGAGGCGAGAUUCGAGCCCUAAUUGCCUCUUGUGGGUAUCCAGCGCCUCCUCAUCGUCGGAGCUUGGAUCAGGGAGAUCCACUUCACUGGAUUCCAUUUCCCCUUUCUCAUCGACGUUGAUCGGCUACUGACCCUUGUUGUGGACGGACUGCCGAUGCAGAAAUUAGGGUAAGUUGUUCUUGUAGCUGUUGAAGUCUUGGUGAAGUGGUGAAGGUCCAUUUGAGGACUACCUUGGGAGUUAUCGAGCAAAGGUUGUUGGAUUGGGAGCUACUGAAUUUCUGUUAAAACCUCAUGGACUCUAUUUCGAGGCGGGCAUCUAGACGCAGGAUUACUUGACACGAUCUACCUUUUAA